GCUGCUGAUGAGGGCGAUGAUGAUGAUGAUGACCAGACUUUUCAGGGGACUCAGCAGCCGUACCACCAAGUGGGUCAGCAGAGUUCAACAAGUUGUCAACAAGGGGGUCAACAACCUUCCACUUCUCAGUCCCAGUCUAAAGGCAAAGGAAAGGGGAAACAUAGAGUACCCCUACUCCAUCCACUGUCUGAGACAGCGAUGAAUUGUCUGAAGCAGAGAUUUUGCAGCAGGCCCAGAACCUAAUUUCUAACAUCAGAGCACCAACAAAGAGCAAGCAUGAGAGAAGGGUUAGGGACUUCUGCAGAUAUAUGGAGUCAGAGAUACUUAGAGUACCCGAAUCAUCAUGGGAUGAGUGCAGUUUCACGAUAAUGAAUAUAAUCAGAGGGUUUAAAACUGCCCAGCAACAUGCAUUCCACCAGAAUUAUGGAAGCCAGUAUCAGCAGCAUGGAGGGUAUUACACACAACAGUGUGGCACUUUCCAACAGCUGCAACAGCCUAGCACCUGCCAGCAGUCGCAGCAGUC